rnacentral:tRNA from 1 species
AUCUUAUUAAUAUAAAUAAAAUAGUAUAUUUGAUUUCCAAUCAAAAAGUUUAAUUAAAUAAAUAAGAUA